CAAGUCGAACGCGAAAGUCCCGCAAGGGAUCAGUAGAGUGGCAAACGGGUGAGUAACACGUGGGUGACCUACCUUCGAGCGGGGGAUAACGUCCCGAAAGGGACGCUAAUACCGCAUGACAUCCCGCCUUUGAAGAGGUGGAGAUCAAAGCCGGGGACCGCAAGGCCUGGCACUUGAAGAGGGGCCCGCGUCUGAUUAGCUAGUUGGUGGGGUAACGGCUCACCAAGGCAACGAUCAGUAUCCGGCCUGAGAGGGCGGACGGACACACUGGGACUGAGACACGGCCCAGACUCCUACGGGAGGCAGCAGUGGGGAAUUGUUCGCAAUGGGCGCAAGCCUGACGACGCAACGCCGCGUGGAGGACGAAGAUCUUCGGGUCGUAAACUCCUUUCGAUCGAGACGAACGGCUUCCGGGUGAACAAUCCGGGAGAGUGACGGUACCGAGAGAAGAAGCCCCGGCUAACUCCGUGCCAGCAGCCGCGGUAAUACGGGGGGGGCAAGCGUUGUUCGGAAUUACUGGGCGUAAAGGGCUCGUAGGUGGCCAACUAAGUCAGACGUGAAAUCCCUCGGCUCAACCGGGGAACUGCGUCUGAUACUGGAUGGCUUGAGAUUGGGAGAGGGAUGCGGAAUUCCAGGUGUAGCGGUGAAAUGCGUAGAUAUCUGGAGGAACACCGGUGGCGAAGGCGGCAUCCUGGACCAACACUGACACUGAGGAGCGAAAGCCAGGGGAGCAAACGGGAUUAGAUACCCCGGUAGUCCUGGCCCUAAACGAUGAAUGCUUGGUGUGGCGGGGUAUCGAUCCCUGCCGUGCCGAAAGCUAACGCAUUAAGCAUUCCGCCUGGGGAGUACGGUCGCAAGGCUUAAACUCAAAGGAAUUGACGGGGGCCCGCACAAGCGGUGGA
rnacentral:rRNA from 1 species